GAUGAACGCUGGCGGCGUGCCUAAUACAUGCAAGUCGAGCGAACGGACGAGGAGCUUGCGUCUCUGAUGUUAGCGGCGGACGGGUGAGUAACACGUGGAUAACCUACCUAUCAGACGGGGAUAACUUCGGGAAACCGUAGCUAAUACCGGAUAAUAUUUUGAACCGCAUGGUUCAAUAGUGAAAGACGGUCGUGCGGUCACUUAUAGCUGGAUCCCAGCUGCAUUAGCUAGUUGGGAAGGUCACGGCUUACCAAGGCAACGAUGCAUAGCCGACCUGAGAGGGUGAUCGGCCACACUGGAACUGAGACACGGUCCUGACUCCUACGGUAGGCAGCAGUAGGGAAUCUUCCGCAAUGGUCGAAAGCCUUACGCAGCAACGCCGCGUGAGUUAUGACGGUCUUCGGAUCGUAAAACUCUGUUAUUAGGGAAGAACAUAUGUGUACUUAACUGUGCCCAUCUUGACGGUACCUAAUCAGAAAGCCCCGGCUAACUACGUG
rnacentral:rRNA from 1 species